UCAAACUUGGUCAUUUAGAGGAAGUAAAAGUCGUAACAAGGUUUCUGUAGGUGAACCUGCAGAAGGAUCAUUAGUGAAGAUUCAAGGGCCAGCCAUACAGACGUACAAUAAGUGUGUCUCUGGCGGCUCGCAUCCACUAUACAUCCAUAAACCCGUGUGCACUGUUCUAAGGAGUAAGAAAGAAGAAGGGGAGGGGAGAGAGAGUGCAUGUGCUUUGCAUAUAACUCUCUCUCACUCUCCACUCUCUUUCUCUCUCCGGUUAAUUACAAACUCGUAUGGAUUUGUAUGAACGUGAGAUAUAUCGUUGGACCGUCACUGGCCAACAAAUAUAACACAACUUUCGACAACGGAUCUCUUGGUUCUCCCAUCGAUGAAGAACGCAGC
rnacentral:misc_RNA from 1 species